rnacentral:lncRNA from 1 species
AGUUGCUGAGGAAGAGCAGCACAGCAAAGCCCAGCGUGGAGGUGGCCAGCAGGAUGAGGCAGGCAUUGCAGGGGACCAUGAAGUACCGCACCAGCAGGGAGACACCGGGCUGCAGCCCGGGACGGCGCUCCAGUGGCAGGGGUGGCAUGGCUCCGCUCCGCCCGCUCUGCUGUGCGCUGGGUUCUCAUGGAGCACCCUUAGGCCUCUCAGGGGCUGCUCCACCCAUCCUGGGGCCCCAGAGGGGCACACAGCAGCACCACUCUCAAACUUCCGCCCCAGCCCCAGCGUGGGGGGCUCCAGGCCCCUUCCAGCCCUCCAGACGCAUCCGAGGAGGUGCUCAGAAUUGUCCGCGAGUAGAAAUCCCCAAGGAUUUUCAAGCUCGGAGACAGCCGGAGGACCGGCCCACCCCUGCCAGCCGCCACCAGCCGGCUCUGUCCUCCGUCCCCGGACAGAGCUCAGCACGCUGGAGCAGCAACGACAAGAGCCCGACGAGAGCCGGGCGCAGGGCCUGGCCGCGCGCGCCUGGCAAGCGCGAGCGCGGUGGAGCGCGGGAGGCGCGGCGCGCAGAGAAGAAAGAGCAGCGGCGGUGGAACCCCCGCCCCGCAGCGGCUCUCUCGCCCUUCCAGGCCUGCGAGGAGAGAAAACAAGCAGAGAGGCGCGAGCAAAUAAGCCGUAUGCAAAUAUCCGCCGGAACUCCCCGCGAGUCCUGGGGCUGGCGCGCCCCCCGGAGGCCACCUGGGAACUCAGCCCGGAUCCCGCUCCGUGCAACCUUGGCGAUUCUGUUCCACCUCCACUGUCCCCAGUCACGACCUCCGAGGCCGGCCGGGGUCACCCCCGUGGUUAUCUCUACAUCCAACAUCUCCAGCCCCCCACCCCGUACUGAUGACUGACCCUAGGGCUUUCACACUGACCUACCUCCUCAAAUCCCCAACCCAUCUAAUUUGAGACAGGGUCUAGCUAAAUCACUAAGCUGCACAGGCUGGCCUGGACCUUGCGAUCCUCCUGCCUCAGCCUCUCAGAGUGCUGGGAUUACAGGAUUGUGCCACCACCACACCUCCCACGGGCCUGCUCACACCCUACUCCGUGCCUCUCCUACCCAGGAACGGCAUGUCUGCCCUCCGCACGGGUUCUCUCCUCUAGGGGCAGCCAAACCCUUCCGGGACUCCUCCCGACAGCAGUCCUUACCCCAGCUGAAGUCAAGCUCACAGCCCCCACAGCAGGUACAUUCAUUCCACAGUCACUCUCUGGCCUCCUCCCAGUCUGUGUUCUUGUUUUUUUUUUUUGUUUUUUUUUUUUGGUAUCGGGGAUCAAACUCAGGACCUUGUGCUUGCCCGGCAGGUGCAGUGCCACUGAGCUAUGUCCCUGGCCCUUCUCAGUCCGUUUUGGGAAGGAAGCACUGGCCACAUCCCUGACCCAUAAUCACUAGCUAAGUCUGUGGGGCUCCAGGACUCUACGCAUUGGCCACAGGUACCCUCCGUGGCCACCAGCUGGCCCUCCCAAGGUUCCGCUGUCCCACCUCACCCAGGCAACUCCUCCAGCUCACCUGCCCCUAAACCUCACCAGUCCCACCUCAGCCAGGAAAGCCGGGCAAGGUGUGCUACUCCCACACGGGAGUCGGCCCUGUCCCACCACAGGCCAAGGGCAGAAAUCCCCAAGGCGGGCUCACAUUACUGGGUUAGGGGUCUUCCCCUCUCUUGUGGCCCCCAAACCCACUGUUGGUACACUUUUUUUUUGGUACCGGGGAUUGAACUCGGGUCCUUGAGCUUGUGCAGCAGGUGGCGAAACCACUGAGCUAAAUCCCCGGCCCCUAAAACCCACUGUUUUAGUGAAACCUUGCAGGAAAAUCCAAACCGAUUUUGAGCCCCCCACUAGCCACUUGGAGACCUCAACCCAGGCUGGCCUCACCCUCUCAGGGAGCCCCUGUCCCCCAACCAACCCCAGUGGACCUUGGCACUGCCUGCAGCACAUUGAUAGAGUCCUGGCAUGUGGUACCCAGGGCAGGGUCUGAGUUUUUAUCUCUCAGGGCGGAGGUCAGCCUAGAGUGGAGAAAGGAAGGACCUGGUAUGUGAAGCCCAGCACAGCACAAGCACAUUUUUCCAUCUGUCUCCGACUGCCGGAUAAAGUGCCAGGGACCAGGCCCAGGCAAUGCCCAGCAGCCCACACACCCACACAAUGCUAUGUACUGCUGCCACAUGCAGCCCUGGGCGUCCUGGGUGAGCUCCAUAGGAGUCCAGGAAACAGUGUGGGAGAGCUGAGUUUGAGUGGCAGUGGGAGCCCUUGGGAAAGGCUGAUGGGCAGAGAAGGCAUGGGGGGGUACUGGACGCUGCCUGGGAUAUUUGGCCCCCUAAGCAGAGACUCUGAGAUCUGCCACUGAAGGGGUCCCAACAGAGCCUUCUGGAUGUUCACAUGUGGGUGUGAGCCUGGCCCAGACUAACACUGGAAAUGGGCUCUGGGCAGGGUGGGGGGUAACCAGACAGGCAGCCUGACCCUAGCAGGCCUCUGCUGUGGCGGGAUGCCUUCCACAGACAAAGAGCCAUUGAAGCCCUGGCCCAGUGGGGAGGGGAGCUCAGGCUACUGCAGCUAUUUUAGGAUCUUCAGGCAGAAUCAUUCGGCCUUGACCAGCCCACGCAUGCUUAUGCCCCAGAACGAACGGGAUACUCCAGGCCAGGAGCCAGCCCCUUGGACUCAGGGCUCACACCCCAGCAACAUGCGAUGGCUAACUGCCAUACACUGGGCAUCCCAGCUCUAAGUGUGCACAUAGGCACACUUGCUGAAUGUCUAUGCCACUGGGUGUCACACGCACCCUAACCCAAUCCCACCUCCAGGCGCACAGCGAGGUGUGUGUGACCCCAUCCAUCCCUCAGUGUGAACAUCCGGCUGUGCGCGGGAACCUGGGGGUGGGCCCGGAGGGAAGGGAGAGUCUAGCCCACUGGAGGCCAGUCCCUCAUUCACAUGUAGAUUACUCCUCCCUCCACUCGCUCUCUAGAAAGGAGGGUGUGGUGAUGAUGUGUAGGCACCGCCCUCCAAGGCAGGGGCCUUGCCCGACCAUCACUUGCAGACAGGCAGUGACAUCUGACCUGUGGUGACCCCUCUGUCCACAGAGAUCUUGGGGUGUGCUGCUCAGCAGGGAAAGGUGCUGCCCUGGCAUCAAGCAAGCACGCACAAGGCCCUGUCCUGGCCCAGUGCGCAGGUGUGCAGCUGCCCCUGUGGAGACGUGACAGUGGCCUCCAUCCUAUGGCCUCUUGGGGUUGGGCCUCAGCCUGUACCCUCCCCUCCCCUUCAGUCUUGGCAGACAAUGAGCGUUUCAGGACAGGACGUCACUGCUGGGUGGCAGCCAGCCACUGGGAAAGAGGCCACACUGGGUGGCUCACUAACCAGUCUCAGCUGUGGGGCCUCAGAUCACCCUCCUGCCUCAGGUGGAGCCUGAGGUGCUUAGGUCAGACCUGUACCCACCAACAACCUGGCCCCUGUCUAUGACAGCCUGCCAUUAAAUGGAAAUCUGGGGCAGGGGCACAGCAGGGCUGACUGAGCCUUCCAACGCAGACUCCUCUUCAUCACCAACCAGCCUGUCUGCACCUCCCUGGGCAGGGCUCAGUGUCCCCAGUAGGCCCUGGGAAGGAUACACUGUGGCAUUUCAAAUGAAGUCCAGCCAGGUUGGCAGGAGGCAGGUGGUGUGGCCUCCUGAGGUGACACUGGCAUACAGACCAGUGAGGAUGGGGGCUUGCACAGAUCAGGAGGCAACUACCAAAACCAAGCUGGGAACAAGCUCAGAAAGCUUCCAGUAAGCAGCAGGCCAGCACAGAGAUCUGGGGGGAAUGGAACAAGAGGGCCACAGCCUGCAGCGCAGAUUCUCAGGCGUUAGGGUCUGCAGCCCCACCUUGGCCUGGCCAUCUGCCAUGACCACCAGGGGGUGCAGGGAUAGCAGCAUGGAGCCACCCAUACCCUCUGUCCCUGCCCUCUCGGCUCAGCCAGGAGAACCCAUCUCCAGGAAAAAAGGCAAUGCUGGUGGAGCCAGGGCAGUGCCAGGUUAUGUCAAUGCCUGGUGAAUCAGGACAGCCCAGUGUCCCUGCUGAGAGUCCAGCUAUGCUGGGCAAAGGGAGCACCAGACAUGGGAGAGGGAUGGCCACAACACAGCCCCCCAGCAUCAAAAGGCUGAGCUAGGGCCGGGGAUUUAGCCCAGUGGUUUCGCCGCCUGCUGCGCAAGUGCAAGGACCCGAGUUCGAUCCCUGGUACCAAAAAAAAGCGCUGAGCUCUAGGGGGCGCUUUAUAGAGGUGCUGGCCAGGUAAGUGCCAGGAUGAACAGGAAGGGCAGAGAGGAAAGAAGGACCAGAGGUGCAAGAAAGAAGGGCGGAGGCAAAGCCUCAGGGGAGUCAGGAUGCUGGGGAGCUGGGCUCAAAGGAGACCCAGGGGCUCCCUCCCAUGCCCACAGCACCUGGGAAGCCUCCUGAGUCCAGCAGGGCUCUCUAGUUGAGGUGGCAAGAAUGCCUCACACCUGGGGCCAGGGAUUUAGCUCAGUGGCACCAUGCCUGCCUUGCAAGCGCAAGGUCCUGAUUCAAUCCCUGGUACUGGAAAAAAAAAAAUUCCACACACCUGUGCCUCACUGCCCUGCCAAUGGCACACAUCUCCUCCCCUCCCCAGCCCAGUGUAUGCUCACUCCCUGCCUGGUACCUAGCUACCCUGUCUGCCUCUGCACAGGGCAGAGGCAUCUGCACCAGCUUUAGGUCUGAAUGGCAUGUAAGGGAUAAGAGACCUGACUAGGCUGGGCGUGGUGGCACACACCUGUAAUCCCAGCACUCAGGAGGCUGAGGCAGGAGACUGCCAGGAGUUCAAGGCCAGCCCAGACUACCUAGUGAGACCCUGUCUCAAAAAAAAGGACCCGACUCCAUUGCUGGUGGGAGUGCAGACUGGUGCAACCACUGUGGAAGUCAGUAUGGAAAUACCUCAAAGAACUAGGACUGGAGGUCCCAUUUGACUCAGCUAUUCCCCUGCUGGGUACCUUCCCCAAAGAAUUAAA